ACACGUACGUUUAUAGGCAUAAUAACAGUACGUUUUGUGCUUUCUAUUUUUGAACCACACGGCUUGCCAUAUGGUCGACAUCACUGCUGUCAAUAAAGCUAUGGACGCUAAAUAUGACUCCUGUAUUGUGUCAUGCACUGUUGGAGAAGAUAUUGGUUUAGCAUAGAAAACAGUCUUCUCAGAAAGCUGCGAUACUCUGCCUCAGUCUCAGAUACCUGUGGACAAAUGUGACACACCCAGUCCAGUCGGCCUUCUCGCCCCAAAUGGUGGUAUUGACCUAAUAGCACCAGUUCGUAUCAAUUUUGGAGACAGCCUAAUCUUUAUGGCUUCAGUAGCUGUGAAGGUGGAGCAGUUUUCCUUUGUGUUUGUGGCAACUGAUGAUUCAAUGAUACUAGGAUACGAUGUCAGUAAUACAUCGACCCUGGAUGCUGACAGCUCAUUCUACAAUCAGCCAGUGCCCUCUCUAUUGGACACGCCCCCAUCUGGUGGGUACACUCAACCA